AGAUCGGUGAGUGUUUUGUAGUUGAGGUUGUUAAUUCACUUUGGAGUGAUUAGGCUAGAGAAAAUGGAUAGCCAUUUAAUGGCAAAUUGAAAGCUAGCUAAAAGAUAGCUUUUAGAGUUUAUAGUGUGAAUUAACAUAAUGGUGAUGUUAAUGUAAUGGUAGGUUCCAACGAAGUUCCAUCCUUCCAAUUGGACCAUUAGGGAAUUAAGAGUCGGCUAAAGGCUCAACAAAAUACUGGUGAGUGGACUUGCAUUUCAAACUUGUUUUGGAGAAUGUGAAUGAUUUUAUCCAACUUGUCUUUGAAAAUGUGUGCUAGGGAACAAGCCUUGAUUAAAUGUAUUUGAUAUUGUGAAAUGGAAAAUGUGUAUAAGGAUGAAUCCUUGUGUUUAUUAUUAUGUUGGUAUGUAUGUAUAUACCUUUUGGAUAUGUGCUGUGUAUGGAUGAAUGAUGAUGGCUGAUGAUGUUG
rnacentral:lncRNA from 1 species